UCCCUGGUGGCUCAGAUGGUAAAGCAUCUGCCUACAAUGCAGGAGACCUGGGUUCAAUCCCUGGGUUGGGAA
rfam:TPA: Bos taurus chromosome 9, whole genome shotgun sequence.